GACGAACGCUGGCGGCGUGCUUAACACAUGCAAGUCGAACGGUAAGGCCCUUCGGGGUACACGAGUGGCGUACGGGUGAGUAACACGUGGGUGAUCUGCCCUGCACUUCGGGAUAAGCCUGGGAAACUGGGUCUAAUACCGGAUAGGACUCCUGGCUUCAUGGUUGGGGGUGGAAAGCUUUUGCGGUGUGGGAUGGGCCCGCGGCCUAUCAGCUUGUUGGUGGGGGAAUGGCCUACCAAGGCGACGACGGGUAGCCGGGCUGAGAGGGUGACCGGUCACACUGGGACUGAGAUACGGCCCAGACUCCUACGGGAGGCAGCAGUGGGGAAUAUUGCACAAUGGGCGCAAGCCUGAUGCAGCGACGCCGCGUGGGGGAGGACGGCCUUCGGGUUGUAAACCUCUUUCACCAGGGACGAAGCGCAAGUGACGGUACCUGGAGAAGAAGGACCGGCCAACUACGUGCCAGCCGCCGCCGCGG
rnacentral:rRNA from 1 species